CCUACGGGUGGCAGCAGUGAGGAAUAUUGGUCAAUGGCCGGAAGGCUGAACCAGCCAAGCCGCGUGAAGGACGAAGGUGCCAAGCAUUGUAAACUUCUUUUGUCAAGGGACAAAAUCAGGCUCGAGAGCCUGACCGAGGGUACUUGAAGAAAAAGCAUCGGCUAACUCCGUGCCAGCAGCCGCGGUAAUACGGGGGAUGCGAGCGUUAUCCGGAUUUAUGGGGUUUAAGGGGUGCGUAGGCGGACUGUUAAGUCAGCGGUAAAAGCCCGGGGCUCAACGCCGGCGAGCCGUUGAAACUGGCUGUCUUGAGAUGGCGAGAGGUAGGCGGAAUGCGCGGUGUAGCGGUGAAAUGCUUAGAUAUUGCGCAGAACUCCGAUUGCGAAGGCAGCAUACCGGCGGCGAUCUGACGCUGAGGCACGAAAGCGUGGGUAUCGAACAGGAUUAGAUACCCCUGUAGUC
rnacentral:rRNA from 1 species